CAGGGAGACAACAAAAUGUUUAAUAUUAUUAUUUUGUCACCUUAGGUCGAUCGGUAUCUCACAUUCUUAAUUUAUUAAGGAUUUUAUUUCCUAAGUUUUUUCUAGGUCACACCCAUUACUUUUCCUGGGCCAUUAGCUCAGGUGGUUAGAGCGCACCCCUGAUAAGGGUGAGGUCCCUGGUUCAAGUCCAGGAUGGCCCAUAUCUCUAUGUUGGGGGUAUAGCUCAGUUGGUAGAGCGCCUGCUUUGCAAGCAGGAUGUCAGCGGUUCGAGUCCGCUUACCUCCACUGAUUACCACCUCUUCCAUAAUUAUUAGGGAAAUGUUUUGAGUAGUGAUCAAAUUCUGAACGAAUCUAGCUUCCUAAUGAAUUCAUUAAGAUGCUGGACUCAUUGAAUUAUUUUCAUUGUUUUCAGAGAACCUUGACAACUGCAUAGAUUAUUUUUAAAGACAAUAAGCAUCUUUAUGAUGCAGAUUUAUUAUUUGUGCGAAUGCAUUAAUAACAAUUCUAUUAAGCUGAUGCUUCAAUUAUGAAGUUAUU
rnacentral:tRNA from 2 species